UGGCUUACCGUAGCAGUCGCUCUAAGCUUUCUCAUCCUACUGAUGGUAUUUUAGGCGAACUCGCUUGCAGCACCCGCUUCUCGGGUCUGGUUCUAGUUCUUCGUUGCUGUGCCAGUGCCACCUAAACAAUGCCAUGGGCCGACCAGUCCGUCACAUCCACUGCUACAACUUCGAGUAAAGCUAAAGAAAACUCAUAGUUACUGUAUGAUUUCGGCCUCCUAGGAUACUAUACGAUUUCGGCCUGUUAUGAGUAUUUUUCUCCUAUGGGCUGGUCACUCAAGAGGGACAUUGUAUGGUGUGUCUAGGGAGGUGGCUGUUGCUUUUGAGGAGGUGAUACGGGUUAGGGUUAUGGUGGAGAGAUAAAUCCUCUUAGAUAUUCUGAGAAGUAGAGCAGCUGGUGUGUUCCUUAGUGGUGCUUUAGCGGGACCAUAACCAAAGCCAUUCUCGCUCUUGAGACCAUCAGGAGGAUUAUCUCUAUUGCUAUGUUGUGCAUCACUGUCAUCCACAGAGAGAACUUUCAUCUCAUAUAUAUGUUGCUGUCUAGGAAAUUGAGGGAUGGACUGCAAGGUUGCGUCCCUCUACGCAAGUAAUGUAUAAAAAAUAUUGUACAUUAAUAAUUGGAUGAUGAUCACUCGGUGAAUAUUGGGCUAUCAACCUGGUCAUAUGAUAAUAUAUAUGUUCUGCACGUGUAAAUUUAUUUCAUGGAAUAUUAUUUGGGUAUCUCUUAUUCAAAUUUUUACUAAGAUAUCUUCAAUUGAUAUGUGAAUGGGAUAUCUCCAUUCCCAAAUAGCUUUCACAUCUUUUUAUAAGUAUCUCAUGGUGUCUCUUCAGGUUUUUAUGUUUUUAUCUCAUGCUAUUUCCAGAGAGCCAAGGUCAUUUUUUAACUCCUUAAUUAUAGAUUGCAUCAGCCCAUGUCAUCAGGACAACACUAUAGGCUAACAUAAAAUGCUUGUGAAGCUCAUUUAAAUGCUCAAUUAUCAAGAUUCUGCUUUAUCUUGAAUGUUCCCAGUUAAUUGUGAAUCGUGAAUUAUUCUUCUUUUCACUAUCGUGGCUAUAUAUGCACUAUUGGACAGCUUAAAGCAAAUUGGUGAGUUCCUGUUUGAAAAAUAUGGAGGUUAAGACUUGGAUGUCAUGUAAGUUCAGUACACUUUAUGAAUGAUAAAUCUUAUUGCCAUUUAAUACUUGGAUGUCGUGUAAGUUCAACACACUUAAUGAAUGAUAAGUCUUAUUGCCAUUUAAUAAACAGAAUUUGUGAAUACUGAAUUGAUUGUCUGAAGUUGUAAUCUUAUUUUUUUCCUCUUUCCCGAGUUUAAGCAAUCAUGGAGAAAAAAAGGAGAGAGUAAACUAUGAUAUUGGUUGUUCUUAGAGUAAACUAUUAUAUUGGUUGUUCUUAUUUACUUUUAUCCAAAAUCAAAAACUUUUUGCUUAUAAAAUUGUACAAUUAGUUAGUCUCGAUUUACUUUUGAUCAGGUCUUUGUUUUAUUUUCUUUCGAUUUUCUUGUUUGUGAAAGAGCUUGCUAUCAUAUGCUGAUCUCUUUCUGCUUUUUUGUGGAUUUUGUUUAUGUAUAUUAUAACAUUAUGGCAAUGAAGAUGAUUUUUGAUGGGAAGCUAAGCAUUCCUGAUGGGCAGGAGAUUCACAAGGACUUUGAUUUGUUUGUGAUUGAAGCUGCAGUGCUGGAGUUCGUGCCUCACAAUUUCCUAGUCUAUAACUCAUUUUUCAUUGUCUAUGCACCAUUUGUGCUAAAAGUCUAGUAGACAUUUGUAACUAAGAUAUUAAGGUGCAUUGACACAUUUCGUGGUUAAAUAUAGGUUAUUUAAAUUAAUGUAAUGAUUAUUAAUAAUUAUUUUAUAUGCAAUGACAAUUACCUUUUGUAGUUAA